AAAUUGAAGAGUUUGAUCAUGGCUCAGAUUGAACGCUGGCGGCAGGCCUAACACAUGCAAGUCGAACGGUAGCACAGAGAGCUUGCUCUCGGGUGACGAGUGGCGGACGGGUGAGUAAUGUCUGGGAAACUGCCUGAUGGAGGGGGAUAACUACUGGAAACGGUGGCUAAUACCGCAUAACGUCGCAAGACCAAAGAGGGGGACCUUCGGGCCUCUUGCCAUCAGAUGUGCCCAGAUGGGAUUAGCUUGUUGGUGAGGUAACGGCUCACCAAGGCGACGAUCCCUAGCUGGUCUGAGAGGAUGACCAGCCACACUGGAACUGAGACACGGUCCAGACU
rnacentral:rRNA from 1 species